GCCAGUCUACUGUAAGUUCCAAAAGAAUAUUGAAUGUCCCUCCAGAAACUCCGAAGUUCAGUCAAGAGACACUUUUGAAUGUGAAUUCGCGUAAAAGUUUAGUCGAUGUUCCUGGAAAGAAGAUCCAGUCUUAUAUGCCUUCAUUAUGUAAAGAAUCCUCAGCACAAUCCCUUGUGGAACAGAGGAAUGAAAAUCUUGAAGGAUCAAGUGCUGAGGCAAACGAAGAGACUGAAGAUCUUGUGAAUAUAGAUGAGAAACCUCCUCCAUUGGCCGGAACAAAUGUUAUGAACAUUAUUUUGGUGGCUUCAGAAUGCGCUCCAUGGUCUAAAACAGGUGGGCUUGGAGAUGUUGCUGGAGCAUUACCGAAAGCUUUGGCUCGACGUGGCCACAGAGUUAUGGUUGUGGCACCUCGUUAUGACAACUAUCCUGAACCUCAAGAUUCUGGUGUAAGAAAAAUUUAUAAAGUUCAUGGUCAGGAUGUAGAAGUGACUUACUUCCAAG
rnacentral:misc_RNA from 1 species